UCUAAUGUGGCAGAUUAGUGCAAUGGAUUUAAACCCCAAACAUAAAGAUUAUCUUUUUUUAGAA
rnacentral:tRNA from 1 species